AACGAACGCUGGCGGCAUGCCUAACACAUGCAAGUCGAACGAAGGCUUCGGCCUUAGUGGCGCACGGGUGCGUAACGCGUGGGAAUCUGCCCCUCGGUUCGGAAUAACAGUUAGAAAUGACUGCUAAUACCGGAUGAUGACUUCGGUCCAAAGAUUUAUCGCCGAGGGAUGAGCCCGCGUAAGAUUAGGUAGUUGGUGGGGUAAAGGCCUACCAAGCCGACGAUCUUUAGCUGGUCUGAGAGGAUGAUCAGCCACACUGGGACUGAGACACGGCCCAGACUCCUACGGGAGGCAGCAGUGGGGAAUAUUGGACAAUGGGCGAAAGCCUGAUCCAGCAAUGCCGCGUGAGUGAUGAAGGCCUUAGGGUUGUAAAGCUCUUUUACCAGGGAUGAUAAUGACAGUACCUGGAGAAUAAGCUCCGGCUAACUCCGUGCCAGCCGCCGCCGUAAUAC
rnacentral:rRNA from 1 species